GUUUAUGUACAUCUCUAAUCUUGUCUGAUCAAGGAAGAUGAAAAGGGUUGAGCCUGACUAGUACUUGGAUGGGCGACCACAAAGGAAUCUUAUGUACCGUAGACU
rnacentral:rRNA from 1 species